rnacentral:rRNA from 1 species
AGAGAGAGACAUGCGCGCAUAUCAAUAAGCGGAGGAAAAGAAACUAACAAGGAUUCCCCUAGUAACGGCGAGUGAAGCGGGAAGAGCUCAAAUUUGAAAUCUUAAAGGGUUUCCCUUUACGAAUUGUAGUUUAAAGAAGUGUUUUCUGUUGAGGUUUUGGUAAAAGUUCUUUGGAAUAGGACAUCAUAGAGGGUGAGAAUCCCGUAUUUGACCUUACUUUCCAACUUUGUGAUACACUUUCAAAGAGUCGGAUUGUUUGGGAAUGCAGUCCAAAAUGGGUGGUAAAUUUCAUCUAAAGCUAAAUAUUGGCGAGAGACCGAUAGCGAACAAGUACCGUGAGGGAAAGAUGAAAAGAACUUUGAAAAGAGAGUUAAACAGUACGUGAAAUUGUCAAAAGGGAAGCGUUUGACACCAGUGUUGUUUUUCUGAAAAUCAAUUAAAGAACUGUUUAUGCUAAGUUGUUUAGACUUUAUCAGCUAACUGUUUAGUUUUGAGCUUUUCUUUAAUGCACUUUUCAGUUAACAAGUCAACAUCAAUUUCUUUUGCUGUAAAAAAGCUUGAGGAAGGUGGCUUGAGAUUCGUCUUAAGUGUUUAUAGCCUCUUGCCUAUGCAGUCGGAGAGAUUGAGGUCUGCAGCGUAGAUCCUUCGGGGCUAAAUGCAUUUGUGCUAAGUUAUAGCAUUUUAUAGACAACUUGUUGACUAUGAUUUGUCUUGUAGCUUACUCGCUUAUGUUAUUUUACCUACGCUUAGGAUGUUGAGCGCAUGUCUCUCUCU